rnacentral:lncRNA from 1 species
UCCUCUCACCCCAAAGAAAAGAAAAGAAAUAAAACUAUUUACACGGGAAAGCUCCCAACAAACAAAAGAAGAACGAGAAAUCUUUUUGGGUUUUCUUUUUAAUUACUACUACUACAGGCAUGGAAAGUAAACUAGCUAAAAGCUAUAACUAUUUUUUUUUGGUUUUUCUUAAGGUUAUUCAAACACACAAGAAGAAGCUUAGAAAAGAAAAUAAACUAGCAUGGAUGGUACAAUGAAAAAGUAAGAGCACCGACAACUAGCAUGAGUGUGUGAACAUGAAUGUAAUCUCGGUGAGGAAUACGUACUCCCGCAAGCUUAGGCUUUCGGCCUAAGUUGGUCUAUGCCCACGGAUCAAAGUGGUCCUCUCCAGUGUACUGAGGAGGAUCCUCGGGGUGCCACUGGUUAGCGAGCUCUUGCGGAUCCCACUGAUAAAUAGACUCCUGAUAUGGAUCAGGAGAUGGCUCUAGCUCUAGCUCUGGGGAUCGUGUUCGCUCCCAAUAUGCAUAAAUGUCAUCGGGCAGGAUGAUAUAUGUGCCUGAAUGAAUGUUAAACAAAGAAGGUGCAGGCAGGGUAAUAAUCUGACAAGUAUUUUCACUGAAUACCAGGUUAUAAAUGAGUCUCUUCUCCUUAUCAUCGCAAAUAAAAUCGUGUGCUACCAUACUUUUAUAGUCUAAGAAAAUAGGGGGCAUCACCUUUUCUUCUUUCUCAUAGUGUCUAAUAGGUAUCUCAAAAUAUUUAGCAAGACGCGAAGCAAAGAUACCUUCAAAAAUGGGGCCCUUUGUACAGUUUAGACUCAACCGUUUAGCAACCAUAGCGCUAAACUGAAAGUUCUGUCAUGGAGUAAAGCAUGGCGCAAGAUGGCGAGGUCAGCAGCACUGAGGCCCCCACUGUUCCCGCGACCAAUUAAACAUCUACUAGCAAAUAUCGCAUAGUAACAUAGAACAAGAAAAUGUAUACUAGUAGUUCUUGCGACACUUUUCUCUUUUCACCUAUAGCAAUUUCAUCAAUGAAAUCUGCCACAUCACUAGGAUGUGGUUCCUUGACGCUGCCCGCAAAAGACAACUUGCAAGCCGCACAAAAAUCAUAGAGUGACAUCUCCUUAAACUCAUCAUAUAAAUAAAAAUCUACCGAAGGUGGUGAUCUCCUAGCAUGGAAAUGAAAAUUUUGCACAAAAAUAUUAGUGAGUAGGAGAUACUGUUCGAGCUGGUCGUGGAGGAAGUCGGUGAGGCCUGCAUUCUCAGCCAAGUAAUAAAAAUCUUCAUAAAUUCCGACGGCUCGCAAGAGCUCAUCACAAGGCCAUUCGCACGGCCGAACCUCCGCGGUGCGAGGAAGAUUAUAUUUGGGCUUCUUAGUCUCUUCACUUUGCUUAUCCUUCGAGCUUCGGCUCGACGAGCCUCUCAUCAAUCUCUUCAACAUUUUCUCCCUCUGAAAAAUUUCUGAAUUUUUUAGUAACUCAAAAUAAAAGUGAACCAAACUCAACAAGAUUGAUAGCAACUACUCCCACAAGUGCCUAGAGACUAUAUCAUGCAUUAGAACUACUUGGGAGCAUAUAAAUUUGACAUGCAAGCUCAAGAACAGUGUCACCAAAGCAGCAAAAAUUUGCAAUAAAUAAAGCAUUAGAACAAAAACUAAUUGGACCAUUGGAGGAGUCACAUACCGGAGAACAAUCCCCCAGAGCAGUUUUGUGAAUGGAGAUUUGAGCAAGGAGAUCGAAAAUCACAGCAAGAUGAGCUAGAACACGGGUUUGAGCUAGGGGAGGAUUUUUCUGGAGGAAGAAGAAGUGUGUGGGUGCUGGAAUAAGUGGAGGGGGCCACGUGGGGCCCAUGAGGUAGGGGCGCGCCCUGGACUCUCGUGGCCAAGUGGUGGCCCCCUCUGGUGUGUUCUUAGUGCCAGAUAUUCUUAAAUAUUCUACAAAAAAAUCAUAUUUCAUUUUCGGGACAUUUGGAGAACUUUUAUUUUUGGGGUAUUUUUUAUUGCAAGGAUAAUUCAGAAAACAGACAGAAAAUAUUAUUCUUGCUUUAUUUAAUCUAAAUAACAGAAAGUAAAAGGAGGAUACAGAGAGUUGUGCUUUCUAACUUCAUCCAUCUCAUGCUCAUCAGAAGGAAUCCACUAACAAGGUUGAUCAAGUCUUAUUAACAAACUCUUUCCGAAUCGCAUGAAACCGGAGAAUUUUCGAAUAACACUAAGUUACCUCAACGGGGAUAUGCACAUCCCCAACAAUAAGAAUAUCAUAUUUCUUCUUGACAGUAGGAAGAGGAAAUUCAAAACCUCCAAUAGUAAUCGUUGAAGUUUUUCCAAUAGAAUUGAUACUGUGGACUUGAGGUUGUUUCCUCGGAAAGUGUACCGUAUACUCAUUACCAUUAACAUGAAAAGUGACAUUACCUUUGUUCAAUCAAUAACAGCCCCUGUAGUAUUCAAAAAGGGUCUACCAAGGAUAAUAGACAUACUAUCGUCCUCGGGAAUAUCAAGAAUGACAAAGUCUGCUAAAAUAGUAACGUUUGCAACCACAACAGGCACAUCCUCACAAAUACCGACAGGUAUAGCGGUUGAUUUAUCGGCCAUUUGCAAAGAUAUUUCAGUAGGUGUCAACUUAUUCAAAUCAAGUCUAUGACAUAAAGAGAGAGGCAUAACACUAACACCGGCUCCAAGAUCACAUAAAGCAGUUUUAACAUAGUUUCUUCUAAUGGAGCAUGGUAUAGUUGGUACUCCUGGAUCUCCUAGUUUCUUAGGUACUCCACUCUUAAAAGUAUAAUUAGCAAGCAUGGUGGAAAUUUCAGCUUCCGGUAUCUUUCUUUUAUUUGUAACAAUAUCUUUCAUGUACUUAGCAUAAGGAUUCAUUUUAAGCAUAUCAGUUAAACGCAUACGCAAAAAGAUAGGUCUAAUCAUUUCAGCAAAGCGCUCAAAAUCCUCAUCAUCCUUUUUCUUGGAUGGUUUAGGAGGAAAAGGCAUGGGUUUUUGAACCCAUGGUUCUCUUUCUUUACCAUGCUUCCUAGCAAUGAAGUCUCUCUGAUCAUAAUGUUGAUUCUUUGAUUGUGGGUUAUCAAGAUCAACAGCAGGUUCAAUCUCUACAUCAUUGUUAUUGCUAGGUUGAGCAUCAACAUGAACAACAUCAUUAAUAUUAUCACUAGGUUCAUGUUCAUUACCAGAUUGUGUUUCAGCAUCAGAAAUAGAAAUAUCAUUGGGGUUCUCAGGUGUGUCAAUAACAGGUUCACUAGAAGCAUGCAAAGUCCUAUCAUUUUUCUUUUUCUUCUUCUUAGAAGGACUAGGUGCAUCAACAUUAGUUCUCUGAGAAUAUUUCUCAAUUCUCUUAGGGUGGACCUCAGGAUACAAAUGUUCCUGAGUCAUUUUACCCCCUCUAGUCAUAACUCUAACAACAUUAUCAAUUUUCUUAUUAUUUAAUUCACUGAGCAAAUCAUUCUCAGCUUUAAGCACUUGUUCUACUUGAGUGGUAACCAUAGAAGCAUGUUUACUAAUAAGUUUAAGUUCACCUUUAACUCUAGACAUAUAAUCACUCAAGUGUUCAAUCAUAUAAGCAUUUCGUUUCAAUUGUCUACCAACAUAACCAUUGAAGUUUUCUUGUUUAACAAUAAAAUUAUCAAACUCAUCUAAGCAUUGGCUAGCAGACUUAUAACGAGGAGUAUCACCUUCAUCAAAACUAUAGACAGAAUUUACCUUUACUACCUGUGUCGGGUUAUCAAGACCAUGUAUUUCUUCAAUAGGUGGUAAAUUCUUAACAUCUUCAACUUUAAUACCCUUUUCUUUCAUAGAUUUCUUUGCCUCUUGCAUAUCUUCAGGACUGAGAAAUAGAAUACCCCUUUUCUUCGGAGUUGGCUUAGGAAUAGGCUCAGGAGUUGGCUCAGGAAGUGUCCAAUUAUUAUCAUUACUCAACAUAUUAUUCAAUAGCAAUUCAGCUUGAUCAACAGUUCUUUCCCUGAAAACACAACUAACACAACUAUCCAGGUGGUCUCUGGAAGCAUCGGUUAGUCCAUUAUAAAAGAUAUCAAGUAUUUCAUUUUUCUUGAGACGAUGAUCAGGCAAAGCAUUAAGUAAUCGGAGAAGCCUCCCCCAAGCUUGUGGGAGACUCUCUUCUUCAAUUUGCACAAAAUUAUAUAUUUCCCUGAAGGCAUCUUGUUUCUUAUGAGCGGGGAAAUAUUUAGCAGAGGAGUAAUAAAUCAUAUCCUGGGGACUACGCACACAGUCAGGAUCAAGAGAAUUAAACCAUGUUUUAGCAUCACCCUUUAAUGAGAACGGAAAUAAUUUAAGGAUAUAGUAGUAACGAAUUUUUUCCUCAUUACUGAACAGGGUGGCUAUAUCAUUCAAUUUAGUAAGAUUUGCCACAAUAGUUUCAGAUCCAUAGCCAUAGAAAGGAUCAGAUUCAACCAAAGUAAUUAUCUAAGGAUCGACAAAGAAAUCAUAAUCCUUAUCAGAAAUAUAGAUAGGUGAAGUAGCAAAAGCAGGGUCAUAUUUCAUUCUAGCAUUCCAGGAUUUUUCUUUCAGCUUGACUAACAGUUUCUUAAGAUCAUAUCUAUCCUUCCAAGCAAAAAGAUCUCUAGAAGUUUCUUCAUCCAUAACAUAACCCUCAGGUACAUCAGGCAAUUCAUAUCUAUGGGGAGAAUCUUCAUCAUCACUUUCAUCAAUAUUAUCUGUUUCAAUAAUUUCAUUCUCUCUAACCCUAGCAAGUUGUUCAUUAAGAAAUUCACCUAAUGGCACAGUAUUAUCAAGCAUAGAAGUAGUUUCAUCAUAAGUAUCAUGCAAAGCAGAAGUGGCAUCAUCAAUAACAUGCGACAUAUCAGAAUCAAUAGCAGGAGUAGUUUUAGGUGUCGCAAGUUUACCCAAAACAGAAGGUGAAUCAAGUGCAGAGCUAGAUGGCAGUUCCUUACCUCCACUCGUAGUUGAGGGAUAAAUCUUAGUUUUUUUCGUCUUUCAAGUUGCUCAUAGUGACCAGCAGAUAUAAAUCCCAAGUGACUCAAAGAAUAGAGCUAUGCUCCCCGGCAACGGCGCCAAAAAAUAGUCUUGAUAACCCACAAGUAUAGGGGAUCGCAACAGUUUUCGAGGGUAGAGUAUUCAACCCAAAUUUAUUGAUUCGACACAAGGGGAGCCAAAGAAUAUUCUCAAGUAUUAGCAAUUGAGUUGUCAAUUCAACCACACCUGGAAAACUUAAUACCUGCAGCAAAGUAUUUAGUAGCAAAGUAGUAUGGAAGUAACGGUAACAGUGGCAAUGGUAACAGUAGUAGUUUUGUAGUAAUUGUAACAGUGGCAACGGAAAAGUAACUAAGCAAAGAUCAAUAUGUGAAAAGCUCGUAGGCAUUGGAUCAGUGAUGGAUAAUUAUGUCGGAUGCGAUUCCUCAUGCAACAGUUAUAACAUAGGGUGACACAGAACUAGCUCCAGUUCAUCAAUCUAAUGUAGGCAUGUAUUCCGAAUAUAGUCAUACGUGCUUAUGGAAAAGAACUUGCAUGACAUCUUUUGUCCUACCCUCCCGUGGCAGCGUGGUCCUAUUGGAAAGUAAGGGAUAUUAACGCCUCCUUUUAAUAGAGUACCGGACCAAAGCAUUAACACUUAGUGAAUACAUGAACUCCUCAAACUACGGUCAUCACCGGGAGUGGUCCCGAUUUUUGUCACUUCGGGGUUACCGGAUCAUAACAACACAUAGUAGAUGACUAUUAACUUGCAAGAUAGGAUCAAGAACUCACAUAUAUUCAUGAAAACAUAAUAGGUUCAGAUCUGAAAUCAUGGCACUCGGGCCCUAGUGACAAGCAUUAAGCAUAGCAAAGUCAUAGCAAGAUCAAUCUCAGAACAUAAUGGAUACUAGGGAUCAAACCCUAACAAAACUAACUCGAUUACAUGAUAAAUCUCAUCCAACCCAUCACCGUCCAGCAAGCCUACGAUGGAAUUACUCACGCACAGCGGUGAGCAUCAUGAAAUUGCUGAUGGAGGAAGGUUGAUGAUGAUGGCGGCGAUGGAUUCCCCUCUCCGGAGCCCCGAACGGACUCUAGAUCAGCCCUCCUGAGAGAUAUUAGGGCUUGGCGGCGGCUCUGUAUCGUAAAACGCGAUGAAUCCUUCUCUCUGAUUUUUUUCUCCCCAAACGUGAAUAUAUAGAGUUGGAGUUGAGGUCGGUGGAGCCUCAGGGGGCCCACGAGGCAGGGGGCGCGCCCCAGGGGGUGGGCGUGCCCUCCACCCUCGUGGACAGGGUGUGGGCCCCCUGGUGUUGAUUCUUUCGCCAGUAUUUUCUAUUAAUUCCAAAAAUAUUCUCCAUGAAGUUUCAGGUCAUUCCGAGAACUUUUAUUUCUGCACAAAAAUAACACCAUGGCAAUUCUGCAGAAAACAACGUCAGUCCGGGUUAGUUCCAUUCAAAUCAUGCAAGUUAGAGUCCAAAACAAGGGCAAAAGUGUUUGGAAAAGUAGAUACAUUGGAGACGUAUCAAAGACCCAAUCACAAAAAUAAUCCUCUCUAUCCCCCUCAAAACGUUGGCACGAACACUUGUUUCCAGCCACCUAUGGUCUUCCUCACAGCUCAAAACAUGAUAAUAUUAGACCUAAUCCUGCACCUCCACCAGCACAACCAACACCCAAUUCAAUACCAAAUAUCCAAUUUUCCCAACCAAUACUUUUGCCCUAUGCUGGAGGAACGCUUGGAGGAGUGAAACAACAAUUCCUCCUAGCGCUAUCCUUCAAAUCUUCGCUAUCCUUCGAGUCUUCGAUACGCUUCGAAUCCUUAUGGGGAAGUCUAUAAAUUAUACAUCCCUUGCUUGAAUCAUAACGACUUACUUCAAUUUUGACCCUAUCCCCCAUCAGUAUUCGUAUAGAACUGGACCGUAUCUUUCCUGAAAUAUAACCUAGGAUGAUUGAGUGAGCAAUACUUGUUUUCGAGGAUUUCCACAAGUCCGCCCGAGUUGAGGGGCUAGGGCUUGAGGGACUGGAGAACAGUCAACUUUAGCUAGAAGGCGUCCCAAUAUUCCGCAGGGUGAAAAUCUUGUUGAGAAAAUUGAUAAAAGUGGUGAAGAGGUCAAAACUUUAACUUGUGAUCUGCCACUCUUUUGGAUUACAAAGACUUUAAUUGUGAUAGCUGCUCUUUGAUUGAUUAUAUUUCUUUGUUGCAAUCCAUGAUGAAUUCACCCCAUGCCUAUGAACAAAAUAAAGCUUUUACUAAACAUAUUGUUGAUGCUAUGAUGAAAGCUUUUGAAGAAAAAUUGGAAUUAGAAGUUUCAAUUCGUAGAAAAUUGCAUGAUGAAUGGGAACCUACUAUCAAAGUCAAGAUUAAAAAUUAUGAGUGCUUUGCUUUGUGUGACUUGGGUGCUAGUGUUUCUACAAUUCUGAAAUCUUUAUGUGAUGUGCUUGGUCUUACCGAUCUUGAAGAAUGUUCUUUAAAUUUGCACUUGGCGGAUUAUAGUAUUAAAAAGCCUAUGGGAAGAAUUAAUGAUGUUCUUAUUCUUGAAAAUAGGAAUUAUGUGCCCAUAGAUUUUAUUGUUCUUGAUAUUGUUUGCAAUCCGUCUUGUCCAAUUAUUCUUGGUAGACCAUUUUUACUCACUAUUUGUGUCGUGAUUGAUAUGAAAGAAGGCAAUAUUAAGUUCCAAUUUCCUUUGAGGAAGGGCAUGGAACACUUCCCUAGAACAAGAAUUAGGCCACCAUAUGAAUCAAUCAUGAGGGCAUCUUAUGGAUCUCGAAACAAAGAUGACAAAACUUAGAUCCUUGCUUUAUGGCUAGCUAAGGGCGUAAAACUAUAGCGCUUGUUGGGAGGCAACCCAAUGAAUAAAAUUUAUUUUUGCUUUUUGCUUUCUGUUCUUGAGUGUUAGGACAAUUAUACUACUGUUAUGAUUGUGUUUUUUGUGUUUUAAUUAGUGUUUGUACCAAGUAAAGCCUUUAAGAUCUUCUUGGGUGAUAGUUGUUUGAUCUUGCUGAAAACAGAAACUUUUGUGCUCACGAAAAAAUUCUCAUUUUUUACCAGAGCGUGAUAAAAUACCAAUUCUUUCUGCGGAAGAUUAAUAUACAAAUUUCUCAGGUCAUCCUAAUUUUUCAGAAUUUUUGGAGUCCCAGAAGUUUUCGAAAUAGUCAGAUUGCUAUAGACUGUUCUGUUUUGAUAGAUUCUGUUUUCUUUGUGUUGUGCGCUUAUUUUGAUGGCUCUAUGGUUUUCUUUGAUGAGUUUUUUCCAUAGAAAAGUUGGAAUACAGUAGAUAUAAUGCAAAAAUAAAAUAUUAAUUGGUUUGGUACAAUACUUAUAGUAGUGAUUUGCUUUCUUUUACAAACGGAUCUCACGAAGGUUUUGUUGAGUUUUGUGUGAUUGAAGUUUUCAAGUUUUGGGUUAUCUUACGAUGGAUAAAGGAAUAAGGAGUAGAAGAGCCUAAGCUUGGGGAUGCCCCGGCAUCCCAAGCUAUUAUUCAGAAAUGAGCAACCAACUAAGCUUGGGGAUGCCCGAGUGGCAUCCCCUCUUUCUUCUAACGACCAUCGGUAUUUUACUCGAAGCUAUAUUUUUAUUCGUCACAUACUAAGUGUUUUGCUUGGAGCGUCUUGUAUUAUAUGAGUCUUUGCUUGUUUUAUUUUGUGUUUUAAGUCUUGAUUCCUUGCUAGACACACCUAUUUGAGAGAGCCAAAAUUAUGUCAUGACUUGUUAUAAUUGCUCUCUAUGCUUCACUUAAAUUUUUAAGAGCUAUGGACUUGCUCUAGUGCUUCACUUAUAUCUUUUUGAGCAUGGUGUGCUUUAGUAUUUUUGAAGAAAUGCUCUCUUGCUUCAAUUAGAUUUAUUUGAGAGUUAGUAAAAUUUUCAAGAAAUUCUCUCUUGCUUCACUUAAGUAAAUUUGAGAGAAAGAAAGAAAUAUUAUGCUCAUGAUCUUCACUUAUAUUUGUUUGAGCUUAUCAAAAGCAACAUAUGAAAAAUAGUUCCAAAGUGAUAGAUAUCCAAGAAGGAUAUAAUAAAAAAAAUCAUGAAGAUCAUUGGACAAAAUAAACUUGAUUCUUAGUAAUAGUUUUGAGAUAUGAUGAUGUGAUAUGUGAGUUAUGUUGAUGAGUAAUUAUGCUUUAGUAAGAAUAUUGGUGUUAAGGUUUGUGAUUCCCUAUGCAAGCACGAAAGUCAAUAACUAUGCAAUGAAAUUAUAUCCUACUUAUGGUGCAUUAUUCGGUGUUAAUUAUGCUUAAUGCUCGCUUAUGAGAUUAUUCAUUUCUUGGUUGGUCGCUUCCCAAUCUUUUGCUAGCCUUCAUUUUGCACUAAGUAUGAUCACUACUUGUGCAUCCAAAAACCUUUAAACCAGUUUUGCCACAUGAGUCCACUAUAUCUACCUAUAUGCGGUAUUCUUUUGCCGUUCUAAGCAAAUUUGUAUGUACCAUCUCUAAUUUUCAAAAUAAAGUUCUCUUUUGUGUGUUCGUUUCGCUCACGGAGCGGUGAGGGGUGGCUAAUAUUUUCCAUGCUAGAUGUGUUAUUCUCACGAUGAGUGUUUAUUCACUUGUCAUUGCGCGAGAGUAAGGCAAAGGUAUUAGGGAUUCCCAGUCCCGAAAUGAAAAAUGAAUUUAAUUUAUGUUAUCAAAUAAUAAAUUCCUUGGAAAGUGUUGGUAUGGAAGGCAACCAUGGAUACAGCUAGCCAUGGAAAGUGAAAGUAUGGUUGAAAAAGGAAUAAACUUUAUUUUCUGUUUGGGAACCGCCUAUGAUAUAUCUAGCAUGGAAAGUGUUGGGAACUCUAAGUCAUUUUCGUUGGUGGGAAGGAUAAACCGCCCAAAAUGUUAUUAUCUCUCAAUUUUCGCUUUGAGCUCUGGCACCUCUACAAAUCCCUACUUCCCUCUGCGAAGGGCCUUUCUUUUACUUUAUGCAAUUUUUAUUUUGAAUUUGAGUCUCCAUCUUCUUUUAUAAAAGCACCAACUAGGAGGCAAUAUGAUCGCACUUGAGUAUUGGGUGUAGCUAAUAUGUGAGUGUGUUUAAUGAAUGGAUCAAUGAUUGAGCAUGAUGGGCUAGGGAUGACUUAUUUUAGCAUUGAUAUUUUGGAAGACAUGGUUGCUUGUUGAUAUGCUUGAGUAUUUAAGUUAUCAUGUCAAAACUAGACUAUUGCUUUGAAUGAUAUAAAAGUCCAAAUGUCCAUGCUAUAAAGAAAAGAAUAUGAUAUGACAUGAUAGGCAGCAUUCCACAUCAAAAAUUCUGUUUUUACCACUUACCUACUCGCGGGCGAGUAGGAGUUAAGCUAGGGGAUGAUGAUACGUCUCCAACGUAUCUACAAUUUUUGAUUGUUCCAUGCUGUUAUAUUAUCAAUCUUGGAUGUUUUAUAAUCAUUUUAUAGUCAUUUUAUAUCAUUUUUUGGUACUAACCUAUUGACAUAGUGCCAAGUGCCAGUUACUGUUUUCUGCAUGUUUUUUACAUCGCAGGAAAUCAAUACAAAACAGAGUCCAAAUGCAACGAAACUUUACGGAGAUUUUUUAUGCACCAGAAGACGCAUAAUGGGCCCUGGCUGCGCCUGGGGGGUGCUCCAAGGAGAGCACAACCCACCCUAGUGGGUUGUGCCCAACUCGAGUGCCCCCCGGACCGCCACUUUGCUCUAUAAAUACCCAAAUAUUCCAGAAACCCUAGGGGAGUCGACGAAAAUCAAUUCCAGCCGCCGCAGAGUCCAGAACCACCAGAUCCAAUCUAGACACCAUCUCGGAUGGGGUUCACCACCUCCAUUGGUGCCUCUCCGAUGAUGCGUGAGUAGUUCUUUGUAGACCUUUGUGUCCAUAGUUAGUAGCUAGAUGGCUUCCUCUCUCUCGUCAAAUUCUCAAUACAAUGGUCACGGUGUGUUUGUUGGGAUCGAUGAACUUUGAGUUUAUGAUCAGAUCUAUCUUUUUAUAUCGAUGAAAGUAUUUGAGUUUCUUUGAUCUCUUUUAUGCAUGAUUGCUUAUAUCCUCGUAUUUCUUCUCUGAUAUUUGGGUUUUCUUUGGCCAACUUGAUCUAUUUAUCUUGCAAUGGGAAGAGGUGCUUUGUAGUGGGUUCGAUCUUACGGUGCUUGAUCCCAGUGACAGAAAGGGAACUGACACGUAUGUAUCGUUGCUACUAAGGAUAAAAUGAUGGGGUCUAUCUCUACAUAGAUAGAUCUUGUCUACAUCAUGUCAUCGUUCUUAUCGCAUUACUCUGUUUCUCCAUGAACUUAAUACACUAGAUGCAUGCUGGAUAUCGGUCGAUGUGUGGAGUAAUAGUAGUAGAUGCAGGCAGGAGUCGGUCUACUAAUCUUGGACGUGAUGCCUAUGUAAUGAUCAUUGCCUGGAUAUCGUCAUGAUUAUUUUAAGUUCUACCAAUUGCCUAACAGUAAUUUGUUCACCCACCGUUUGCUAUUUUUCUCGAGAGAAGCCACUAGUGAAACCUACGGCUCCCGGGUCUCUUUCUCAUAUUAUUUGCCUUUGCGAUCUAUUUUCCCUUGCUUUUAUUUCCAGAUCUAUUAAACCAAAAACACAAAAAUACCUUGCUGCAAUGUAUUCUUAUUUAUUUUAUUUGGUGUUCGAUCUAUCAAUCUACUACAAUUUUAUUCACAUCCAUUUACCCAUCUUGGGGCGCCGCUACCCGAAAGGGAUUGACAACCCCCUUUACACGUCGGGUUGUGAGAAGUUGUUAUUUGUGUGCAGGUGUUGUUUACGUUGUGUUGCUUGGUUCUUCUACUGGUUCGAUAACCUUGGUUUCACAUCUGAGGGAAAUACCUACCGCCGUUGUGCUGCAUCAUCCCUUCCUCUUUGGGGAAAUACCGACGUAGCUUCAAGCCGCAUCAGCGGCCGACAUCGUCUAGUUAGCUAAGAGUAAGUUAGUACUUGUACACUACUAGGGUAUUAGUGGGAGUAGAUAGUUAACUUGGCUAUGAUGGUUGUCAACGUGGAAGUUCAGUAAUCUAUAUCUGGAUCAGACAUGUUACUUUGCUCUGAAUGUUGAACUUUCCAUUUGAACGUAUGGAAUGGGUUGUUAUUUUUUGAAAUGGGUUGUAUUUGUUUGCCACGCGUUUAGGGGCGGACUUGUGGGCCUACUAGGUUGACGCAUAUGAUACGUCUCCAACGUACUUUUCCUAACGCUUUUCCUCUUGUUUUGGACUCUAAUUUGCAUGAUUUGAAUGAAACUAACCCCGGACUGACGUUGUUUUCAGUAGAACUACCAUGGUGUAGUUUUUGUGCAGAAAUAAAAGUUCUCAGAAUGGAACGAAACUUUGCAAGGAUUUUUUAUACAAUAAAAGAGAAUUUCUGGAGCCAAGAGCCACCGGAGGGGGCCACCUGGGUGGGCACAACCCACCAGGGCGCGCCUGCCCACCCAGGCGCGCCCAGGUGGGUUGUCCCCACCUGGUGGCCCCGCAGACCUUGAAACUGACGCUAUAAAAUCCUAUUUUUCUAGAAAAAAAUCAUGGAGAAAGAAUUAUCAUGAUCCACGAGACGGAGCCGCCGUCACCUCCUGUUCUUCAUCGGGAGGCCAGAUUUGGAGUCCGUUUGGGGCUUCGGAGAGGGGAAUCUUCGUUCUUCAUCAUCACCGGCCCUUCUCCAUCGCCAAUUCCAUGGUGCUCCCCACCAGGAGUGAGUAAUUCCUUCAUAGGCUCACUGGUCGGUGAGGAGUUGGAUGAGAUUCAUCAUGUAAUCGAGUUAGUUUUGUUAGGGCUUGAUCCCUAGUAUCCACUAUGUUCUAAGAUUGAUGUUGCUAUGACUUUGCCAUGCUUAAUGCUUGUCACUUUGGGCCCGGGUGCCAUGAUUUCAUAUCUAAACCGUUUAUGUUAUCACCAUUAUAUCCAUGUUCUAGAUCUGAUCUUGCAAGUUAUAGUCACCUACUACGUGUUAUGAUCCGGCAACCCCGGAGUGACAAUAGUCGGGACCACUCCCGGUGAUGACCGUAGUUUGAGGAGUUCAUGUAUUCACCGUGUGUUAAUGCUUUGUUUCGGUUCUCUAUUAAAAGGAGGCCUUAAUAUCCCUUAGUUUCCAAUAUGGACCCCGCUGCCACGGGAGGGUAGGACAAAAGAUGUCAUGCAAGUUCUUUCCAUAAGCAUGUAUGACUAUUUACGGAAUACAUGCCUACAUUAUAUUUAUGAAAUAGAGCUAAUGCUGUAUCGCCCUAGGUUAUGACUGUCACAUGAUGAAUAUCAUCCAACAAAUUACCGAUCCAAUGCCUAUGAAUUUAUCUUAUAUUGUUUCUGCUAAGUUACUACUGCUGUUGUUACUAUUGCACAUGCAACAAAAUUACUGCUACCACUGUUACCGUUACAAUUGUUGCUGGUACUAUUAUCAAAACUAUCAUACUACUUUGCUACUGAUCACUUUGCUGCAGAUAAUUAAUCUCCAGAUGUGGUUGAAUUGACAACUCAGCUGGUAAUACCUUCAAAUAUUCUUUGGCUCCCCUUGUGUCGAAUCUAUAAAUUUGGGUUGAAUACUCUACCCUUGAAAACUGUUGCAAUCCCCUAUACUUGUGGGUUAUCAAGACCUUUUCUGGCGCCAUUGCCGGGGAGCAUAGCUAUAUUUGUUGAGUCACUUGGGGUUAUUAUCAAUUUAUCACUAUGAAGAAUCUGAAGGAUGCUAAGACUAAGAUUUAUCCCUCUAAGACGAGGGGAGGUAAGGAACUGCCAUCCAGUUCUGCUUUAGAUUCACCUUCUGUUAUAAGUAAACUUGCAACACCACCACAUGCUAUAAAUCAUGUUAUGUUGCAAGUUAUUGAUGAUGCUACUUCUACUAUGAAUGAUGCUUAUGAUGAUGCUAGUACCUUGCUUGAUGAUAAUGAUGUGCCACUUGGUGAAUUUCUUGAUGAACAAAUUGCUAGAGUAAUACAACAUGAUGUUCUUGAAUCUGAUGAUGAGCUUGAAACUGAAACUCCUGAAACACCUGCUAGAACUAGCCUUCCUAGAUAUGAAUUGCCUAAGGUACCGGAAGGUUAUGUUAUGAAUGAGGAUACAACUAGAGAUAUUCUUGCUUGUAAAGAUAGAGAUGAUCUAGAGAAAUUAUUAUGAAAGUAUAAAGAAAAAUCUCUGAAUGCUAGAAUGCAAUAUGAUCCUAAGUUUGGUACUUCACCUAUCUUUAUUGAUAAUAAGGAUUAUGAAUUCUCUGUCGACCCAGAGUUAAUUACUUUGGUUGAAUCUGAUCCUUUCCAUGGUUAUGAAACUGAAACUGUUGUGGCACAUCUUACUAAGUUAAAUGACAUAGCCACCCUUUUUACUCAUGGUGAGAAGACUCGCUAUUACUUUAUUCUCAAAUUAUUUCUGUUCUCAUUAAAGGGUGAUGCUAAAGCUUGGUACAAUACUCUUGCUCCUGGUUUAUGCGUAGUCCCCAGGAUAUGAUUUAUUACCUCUCCGAAAAAUAUUUCCCUGCUCAUAAGAAACAAGCUGCUUUACAGGAAAUAUUUAACUUUGUGCAAACUAAAGAAGAGAGUCUCCCACAAGCUUGGGGGAGGCUCUGCCAGUUACUUAAUGCUUUGCCCGAUCAUCCUCUUAAGAAAAAAGAAAUACUUGAUAUCUUCUAUAAUGGACUAACCGAUUCUUCUAGGGACUUCCUAGAUAGUUGUGUUGGUUGUGUUUCAGGGAACGGACUGUUGGACACGCUGAAGAAUUAUUGAAUAAUAUCUUGAAAAAUUAUGAUGAUUGGACUAUUCCUGAACCACCACAUAAACCCACUCCGAAGAAGAGGGGUAUAUUAUAUCUCAGUCCUGAGGAUAUGCAAGAGGCAAAGAAAUCUAUGAAGGAAAAAGGUAUUAAAGUUGAGGAUGUUAAAAUUUUACCUCCUAUUGAAGAAAUACAUGGGCUUAAUACACCACCACCACCACCCAAGGUGGCAGAGGUAAAUUCUCUAAUGAAGUUCAAUGAUAAUGACAAUCCUCACAAUAUGCACCCUAGCCAAUGCCUUUAUGAGUUUGAAAACUACAUUAGAAAACAAGAUCACUUCAAUGCAAAUGUGAUGAAACAAUUGAAAUACAAUUAUGAUAUGAUUGCUCGCUUGAGUGACUUGUUAUUUAGAAUCUCAAAUGAUGUUAGAGGUGUUGGAAAACAUGCUUCUAUGGUUCAAACCCAGUUAGAACAAGUUGCUAAAUCUCAAAGAGAGUUGCUUGAUGAAAUGAAUAAUAAUAUACAUGACUUUGCUGUCAGAGUUGCAAGUAAAGGAGGUAAAAUGACUCAGGGACCACUUUAUCCUUGAGGGACACCCAAAAAGAAUUGCACAGGAUUCACAAAGGAAUAACACCACUGCACGUAGUCCUUCUAAAAAGAAAAAGAAAAAUGAUAGGACUUUGCAUGCUUCAAGUGAACCUGAAAUAGAGAAACCUCCUGAUAAUGAUAAUGAAGUUUCUAUCUCUGAUGCUGAAACUUAGUCUGGUAAUGAACAUUCACCUAGUGAUAAUGAAAAAGAUAAUGCUGAUGUUCAUGAAGAUACUCAACCAAAUAAGGAAAAAGAACCGGAUAAUGAUGCUGAAAUAGAACCACCAGUUGAUCUUGAUGACCCACAACCUAAGAAUACACGAUAUGACAAAAGGGACUUUAUUGCUAGAAAACAUGGUAAAGAAAGAGAACCGUGGGUUAAAAAGAAAGAUGAUGAAGAAUUUGAACGCUUUGCUGAAAUGCUGAGGCCAGUCUUUUUGUGUACUCGCUUGACUGAUAUCUUGCAAAUGCCUCCUUAUGCAAAGUAUAUGAAAGACAUCAUCACAAAUAAGAGAAAAAUACCGGAAGACGAAAUCUCCACUAUGCUUGCUAAUUAUACUUUUAAAGAUGGAGUACCUACAAAAUUUGGAGAUCUGGGAAUACCAACUAUACCUUGCUCAAUCAAAAAUAAUUAUGUCAAAACUGCUUUGUGUGAUUUAGGAGCAGGUGUUAGUGUUAUGCCUUUCUCUUUAUAUAAAAGACUUGAUUUGAAUAAACUCACACCUACUGAAAUAUCUUUGCAAAUGGCUGACAAAUCAACUGCCAUACCUAUCGGUAUUUGUGAGGAUGUGCCCGUUAUUGUUGUUGCUAAUGGUACUAUUUUAACUGACUUUGUUAUCCUAGAGAUGCCCGGGGACGACAACAUGUCGAUUAUCCUUGGUAGACCCUUCUUGAAUACUGCAGGGGUUGUUGAUUGCAAUAAAAGCAAGGUCACUUUUCAUAUCAACGGUAAUGAGCAUACGAUGCACUUUCCGAAGAAACAAUUCCAAGUGAAUGGUAUUAAUGUUCUUGAAACAUCUCCGACAAUCACUAUUGGAAGUUUUUAACUACCUCUACCUACUGCAAAAAAUAAAUAUGAAAUGCUUAUGGUUGGGGAUAUUCACAUCCCCGUUGAGGUAACUUAGUGAUUUACGAAAGUUCUUCGGUUUCAUGCUAAUCGAAAGUGGUUGUUAAUAAGACCUGAUCGACCUUAUUAAUGGAUCAUUUUUGAGAGGUAUGAAGUUGAUGAAUUUAGUAAGAACUACAUUCUGUCCCUACCUUUUGUUUUCCGUUUUUAUUAGUUAAAUAAAAUAAAAUGCCCGGUUUUGUCUGUUUCCCGAAUUUCCCGUGCAAUAAAAAAAGACCAAAAAAUAGAAGUUCUCGGAAUGCUCUGAAAAUUUAAUACGAUUUUUUCUGAAUAUUUAAGAAUUUCUAGUGCAAAUUAUGUUAGAGGAAGGUGCACCAGGUGAGCACAACCCACCUGGGUGCGCCAGGACCCCCAGGCGCGCCCUGGUGGGUUGUGGUCCCCACGUGGCCCCCCUCACUUAUCCCUUCACACCACAUCAUCACUUACCUCCAGAUAAAAAUUCUCAAUUGCUCUCUCUCUCCCGUGUUUUUGCUCUCAAACCCGCAUAUUUCAAUCUCUUUGCUCGAAGCUCCGUUUCCGAAACUGUUUUGGGAGAUUGUUGCUUGGUAUGUGACUCCACCGUUUUUCCUAACGCUUUUCCUCCUGCUUUGGACUCUAAUUUGCAUGAUUUGAAUGAAACUAACCCCAGACUGACGUUGUUUUCAGCAGAACUACCAUGGUGUUGUUUUUGUGCAGAAAUAAAAAUUCUCGGAAUGGAACGAAACUUUGCGAGGAUUUUUUUAUACAAUAAAAGAGAAUUUCUAGAGCCAAGAGCCACCGGAGGGGGGCACCUGGGUGGGCACAACCCACCAGGGCGCGCCUGCCCUUCCAGGCGCGCCCAGGUGGGUUGUCCCCGCCUGGUGGCCCCGCAGACCUUGAAACCGACGCUAUAAAAUCCUAUUUUUCCAAAAAAAAUCAGGGAGAAAGAAUUAUCGCGAUCCACGAGACGGAGCCGCCCUCACCUCCUGUUCUUCAUCGGGAGGCGAGAUGUGGAGUCCGUUUGGGACUCCGGAGAGGGGAUCUUCGUUCUUCAUCAUCACCAACCCUUCUCCAUCGCCAAUUCCAUCAUGCUCCCCACCGGGAGUGAGUAAUUCCUUCAUAGGCUCGCUGGUCGGUGAGGAGUUGGAUGAGAUUCAUCAUGUAAUCGAGUUAGUUUUGUUAGGGCUUGAUCCCUAGUAUCCACUAUGUUCUGAGAAUGAUGUUGCUAUGACUUUGCCAUGCUUAAUGCUUGUCACUUUGGGCCCGGGUGCCAUGAAUUCAGAUCUGAACCGUUUAUGUUAUCACCAUUAUAUCCAUGUUCUAGAUCCGAUCUUGCAAGUUAUAGUCACCUACUACGUGUUAUGAUCCGACAACCCCGGAGUGACAAUAGUCGGGACCACUCCCGGUGAUUUCCGUAGUUUGAGGAGUUCAUGUAUUCACCGUCUGUUAAUGUUUUGUUCCGGUUCUCUAUUAAAAGGAGGCCAUAAUAUCCCUUAGUUUCCAAUAUGGACCCUGCUGCCACGGGAGGGUAGGACAAAAGAUGUCAUGCAAGUUCUUUCCAUAAGCACGUAUGACUAUUUACGGAAUACAUGCCCACAUUAUAUUUAUGAACUGGAGCUAGUGCCGUAUCGCCCUAGGUUAUGACUGUCACAUGAUCAAUAUCAUCUAAUAAAUUACCGAUCCAAUGCCUACGAAUUUAUCUUAUAUUGUUUCUGCUAAGUUACUACUGCUGCUGUUACUAUUGCACAUGCUACAAAAUUACUGCUACCACUGUUACCGUUACCAUUGAUGCUGCUACUGUUAUCAAAACUAUCAUACUACUUUGCUACUGAUCACUUUGCUGCAGGUAAUUAAUCUCCAUGUGUGGUUGAAUUGACAACUCAGCUGCCAAUACCUUCAAAUAUUCUUUGGCUCCCCUUGUGUCAAAUCUAUAAAUUUGGGUUGAAUACUCUACCCUUGAAAACUGUUGCGACCCCCUAUACUUGUGGGUUACAGCAUACACAAUCAGGAGAUGAUUGCACGUGGAGAGGAUGACAACAGGGACCCACCAAGCUCAUGGCAGUACGCAAGCUAGUGCCUCCUUAUUUCAAGCCAAAAAAAUGGUUCCUCCUAAUGGAUUUCUGACAUCUGGGUCCCAUGGCAUUGUCAACGUAGUCAAUAAACAAGAGAAUUGCACAACGAGCGGCUGACACCAGGGACCCAGCAGCUCGCCCGGUUAUUUUUAUUUUUGAGACGGAAGCAGGGUGUCAACUGGGCUGUGUGGGGCACUCUGGCCUGUCUAGCCAGCCUUUUCUUUUAUGUUUACCACAAGACCAGCCCAGUAGUUUUUCUUUCUUUCUGAAAAUGGCUAGUCCAGUUUUUUUGUCUUUUGCAGAAUAUCCAACCGAGGCCUACUUGCUUUGCCAGCCCUGCUGAGCUGCAAAUCUUUCAAGACAAGGAGAGCUUCAUUCGGCGUGCCCAGGAAAUGGGCUAUCAGUAAUGAGAAAUGGGUUGUACAUUUUUAAAACACAUCAAACCAGCAAUUAGUUUCAAAUUUCUUUUUUUUCAUUUCGAGAUUUUAAAUUCCAUUGAUUUUUAUGCGUGGACAAUUUUUUGGAAUUUAUAUUGAUAUAAAUUUAUUUUUAAAAUUAGUUUGAAGGUGACUCGAAAUUUCGGGAUUAAAAACAGUUCGGACCACACCAAAAUAUGCAAAAUUUCGUAUAAUUUUUUAACCAUGGCCACAUAUGGGUUGUAAUGCUAACAAAAAGAAUAUGGGCUCCAAAAAAACCUUAAGAAUUAGCAAAUGGGCUACAAAUUAUUAGAAAUAAUGGCAGAUGGGUUGUAUGCUGUUUUCCACAGAUUUAAGGCUCACUUGUGCGCCUACUACAGGUCGACGCGUACGCUUUCCUAAAAAAAGGUUGACGCACACGCAAUGCCGUGCCAACUUAGUCAACACACGAGAGCAGUGACUGUUGGAUGUCCCGUCGUGCUUCUUCAAUCUCUGCUCUUCCUGCUCCAGCCGCUCAAACAAGCGCCGGCGGGACUGCCUGCUCCCUCCUCCCGUGGCUGGCUGUGUUGCCGUGUAACGCCCACGAUGCGGCUAUAUCUCCCACGUGUCGAGGCACGACUUAGAGGCAUAACCGCAUAGUGGUUGUGUCGCAAGAAGGGUCAUCUUCACACAAUCCCAUGUAAAGAACAAGAAUGGGAUAAAGAGUUGGCUUACAAUCGCCACUUCACACAAUACAUGAAUAUAAAUCAUACAUCAUCCAAAUACAAACAUAUAGACCGACUACGGCCAAAACCCAGAUGAAAAUAAGACAACCCCAAAUGCUAGAUCCCCGAUCGUCCCAGCUGGGCUCCACUACUGAUCAUCAGGAAAAGACACAUAGUAACGACCACGUUCCUCGUCGAACUCCCACUUGAGAUCGACGCCAUCAUCUGCACUGGCAUCGUCGGCACCUGCAACUGUUUUGGUAGAAUCUGUGAGUCACGGGGACUCAGCAAUCUCACACCCGCGAGAUCAAGACUAUUUAAGCUUAUAGGAAAGGAUGGUGCAAUGAGGUGGAGCUGCAGCGGCAAUAAGCAUAUAUGGUGGCUAACUUGCGCAAAUGAGAGCGAGAAGAGAAGCAAUGGAACGGUCGUCAUCUAGCAAUGACCAAGAAGCGAUCCUGAACUCCUACUUACGUCAUACAUAACACAGACUGUGUUCACUUCCCGGACUCCGCCGAGAAGAGACCAUCACGGCUACACACGCAGUUGAUGUAUUUUAAAUGGGUCAAGUGACAAGUUCUCUACAACCGGACAUUAACAAAUUCCCAUCUGCCUCAUAACCGCGGGCACGGCUUUCGAAAGAUAAUACCCUGCAGGGGUGUCCCAACUUAGCCCAUCAUAAGCUCUCACGGUCAACGAAGGAUAAACCUUCUCCCGGAAAGACCCGAUCAGUCUCAGAAUCCCGGUUUACAAGACAUUUCGACAAUGGUAAAACAAGACCAGCAAAGCCGCCCGAAUGUGCCGACAAAUCCCGAUAGGAGCUGCACAUAUCUCGUUCUCAGGGCACACCGGAUGAACACUACGUACAGCUAAAACCAAUCCUCGAGUUUCCCCAAGGUGGCGCUGCAAGUGGCUCUAGUUUGGACCAGCACUCAGAGGAACACUGGCGCGGGGGUUUAAAUAAAGAUGACCCUCGGGCUCGCGAAAACCCGGGGGAAAAGGCUUAGGCGGCAAAUGGUAAAACCAAAGUUGGGCCUUGCUGGAGGAGUUUUAUUCAAGGCGAACUGUCAAGGGGGUCCCAUAAAUCACCCGACCACGUAAGGAACGCAAACUCAAGGAACAUAAUCCCGGUAUAACAGUAACUAGGGCGGCAAGAGUGGAACAAAACACCAGGCAUAAGGCCGAGCCUUCCACCCUUUACCAAAAUAUAUAUAGAUGCAUUAAUUAAAUAAUAGAUAAUGUGAUAUCCCAACAUAUCCAUGUUCCGACAUGGAACAAACUUCAACUUCACCUGCAACUAGCAACGCUAUAAGAGGGGCUGAGCAAAAGCGGUAACUUAGCCAAACAACGGUUUGCUAGGAAAGGAUGGUUAGGGGCUGACAUGGCAAAAUGGGAGACAUGAUAUAGCAAGUGAUAGGUAGCGGAGCAUGGCAAUAGAGCGUACAACUAGCAAAGCAAAGAUAGAAGUGAUUUCGAGGGGUGGUCAUCUUGCCUGCAAGAUUGUCAGAGUUGUCGAAAGCUUGAUCCUCGUAAGCGUACUCAACAGGUUCCUCGUUCACGAACUCGUCUCCUGGCUCUACCCAAGACAAGAACACAAACAAACGGAACCACAAUCAACCACGAGAAAUGCACAAGCAACAUGAUGCAAAACAUGUAUGAUAUGCAAGAUAUGAUAUGCGAUGCAUAUGCGUGCUCCGGGAGGAAAAUGAUGAACAAGGCAAUAAUUUGGCAAACCAAGCAUGCCACUGGAAAGAUGAGAUGAUUUCGGUCGAAAUCGAUAUAAAGAUCACCGGAAACGGAUGCACGGUUUGCAAAUGGCAAGCAAAACAAGAAUGACACGAAUCUGCGAUUAACAGCAUGAUAGCACUUAAAAUGCAACAAGCAACAGUGCUACAGCACUCCAACAUAGCAACAAAGCACAUGGCAGUAAUCUACAGGAGAUGCUUGACAAAAUAUGAACACUGAGCUACGGCUAGUUCACGACAUAUCAAGCUCAAACAAGCAUGGCAAAAGUGCAAAAGAUAACAGGUUCACAGACUUGGUGGAAAACUGGACAUGGCAGAAAACAGCAUCAGGUAGCAAUGUUCAGAGCACGAAAUCAACAUGCUACAGGAACUUAACAUAGCAAAACAAGGCAUGGCAGUGUUCUACUAAAUGCACAUGACAAAAGUACCUUACUGACCAUAAGCCAAAAAGGACAAGAAGAUAUGAUGGCAAGCAUGUAAACAUAGCAAGUUUCGUUAUCAGGGUUCAGACUUGGCAGAAAACAGAGCAUGGCAGAAAUAAUAAUAUGUAGGCCUAUUUGUGAGCUUGAUUAACUCACUACAGAGCAAUGCAUGACAAAACAAGAAUACCUACAGCAAGAUGGCAUGUUUAUGAAGCUAACCAUGUCAAGAACACAAGCAUAGCAUGUAUGGAUCAACUACAAUAAGCUUGGCAAAAACGAAUAUCAUGUUAAGAAUCUGCCAGAAAUAUUUUAUAGCAAAAGUAGAGCACGAUUGAGUCAUGCUACGACACUCCAUAAUUGCAAACAAGGGCAGUAAUAGAUCAAUUACAACUAUAUCCACAAAACAUCCUUAGUAAACAUCUUCAAAAUAUGCAUGGAUCUCUCUGUAGCAUCAAGUUUACAUGGCAACAAAAUAACAGCAGACAAGGACUUAGAGAAAUCACUAAGUCCCUGAAAUCAGAAAUAUUACGGGACCUACUUUGCAUGCUUGUGCUAGUCACCACAGAGAUCACACAAAUACAUGGCAUACACCCUUGGAAAUAUGGCAUGGCAUACUUCAAAACACAUGUAGAGCUCAUGCCCAUAAGAUGCACAGAUUUAAAGAUACAAAAAUGACAAAUCUCCAAGUUCUGAUAAGAACCAGAGAAUAACAGCAACUAGCCCUUUUCCAACAGAGAUUUGGGCAUCAAGAUGACCUCUAAUGAAUAUGGUGCAAUUGAACGAAAUGUAGAGCAUCACGAGACGAACAAUUUGACAUAUUACACACGCAAAUCGGAGCUACAUUCAAGGAGUUAUGCAACUAUGAACAAAGGCACUUGCUGGAAAAAUUGAGGACUUGGAAAAAAUCGGGAAACGGGAAGUCAACGCUCACAGAGGGCGAUCCAGAUCUGAGCACGGGAGCUCGGGCUCGGGCUCGUCCUCGGCCUCGCCGGCGAUGGCCCGAGGAGAGGGAAGGAGGCGGCAGCGACCGGAGCUCGUGGGAGGAGGAGGCCGGCGGGGUCGGCCGCGGUGGCUCGCCGGAGCCGGCGUGGAGGCGGCGGCCGGAGCCGGCGAACGGCGGCGAAGCGGGGCCCGGCGGGCGGUNNNNNNNNNNNNNNNNNNNNNNNNNNNNNNNNNNNNNNNNNNNNNNNNNNNNNNNNNNNNNNNNNNNNNNNNNNNNNNNNNNNNNNNNNNNNNNNNNNNNNNNNNNNNNNNNNNNNNNNNNNNNNNNNNNNNNNNNNNNNNNNNNNNNNNNNNNNNNNNNNNNNNNNNNNNNNNNNNNNNNNNNNNNNNNNNNNNNNNNNNNNNNNNNNNNNNNNNNNNNNNNNNNNNNNNNNNNNNNNNNNNNNNNNNNNNNNNNNNNNNNNNNNNNNNNNNNNNNNNNNNNNNNNNNNNNNNNNNNNNNNNNNNNNNNNNNNNNNNNNNNNNNNNNNNNNNNNNNNNNNNNNNNNNNNNNNNNNNNNNNNNNNNNNNNNNNNNNNNNNNNNNNNNNNNNNNNNNNNNNNGGCGGCGGCGGGCGCGGGAGGCGUCGGGCUAGGGCGGGCCUCCCGUGGGCCAAACGGGCCGCGGCGGAGGGAGGUGGCCGGGUGCCACGUGGCGGCGCCCGAUUCGCUGGACGCGGCGGCGGAGAUGUCCGGCGGACGCCGGACACAUCCGGUGGCGGCGGGGGAAGGAGCUAGGGUUGGACUGAGUUCUUUUUCGGGAGGGUCACAUAUUUAUAGGUAGAGGGAGCUAGGAGGCUUCAAAUGAGGUGCGGUUUUCGCCCACACGAUCGUGAUCGAACGACCUAGAGCAUGGAAGAGAGUUUGGUGGGUUUUGGGCUGGUUUUUUAGGGGGGUUUUGCUGGACACUCAAAUGGACACUGCGGAUGCCCGGUUAACCGUUGGAGUACCAAACGACCUCCAAAUGGAACGAAACUUGACCGGUGGUCUCCGGAUGGUAUAUUAAGGCCACUUGACAAGCCUCGGUCCAUUCCGAGAAAGUUUGACACCCGCACACGAAAGAAAACAAGAGGGGUGCACCAGAGGAGAUAGGAGCGCCGGAUUGCAAAACGGACAACGGGGAAAAUGCUCGGAUGCAUGAGACGAACACGUAUGCAAAUGCAAUGCACAUGAUGACAUGAUAUGAAAUGCAUGACAUGACAAAAUACAAAAUGAAAGACAAAACCCGACCACGGAGGGAAUAUCAUAACACAUAGCCGAAAAUGGCAACAGUCGGAGUUACAAAUAUGACAAGUUACAUGCGGGGUGUUACAUGCCGCGCAGGCCUCACCGCCCCACCCUACUUCCGUCGCUGGCCUGACCAUCCCUCUACUCACCUACACUUGCUGUUAUUCUCCGGCGACGAUAGACGAACCAGUAAACCCUCACACUCCCCUCCGCGCGGGAAACAACUGCCGAGUCUUCCCUGGCUCCGUGUCGUUCCCUUCCUAGGCCUCGCCGUCGUCCAUCGCCCUGGUGCUCUAGGCGCGGCGUGGUCAACAUGGUCAAUGAACGACAUCCAUCGGGAGAGGACUAUACGUGGAGAGGCUGACAGGUGGGUCCAUGGCCGGACGCAAGGAAAUGCUUCCUUAUUACGCGUAAAAUAAUGAUUUAUCCACCUGACAGCUGGGACCCACUGGAAGGGCCUCUGUAUUUCGCGAAAAACAACGUUCCCCCCGCUGACAGCUGGACCCACUAGCUAUAUCUUCGCACGCAAGGAAGUGCCUCCUUAUUACGCAAAAAAAAAUACUCCCCCUGCUAGCUGGGACCCACCAUGGUAGGAGGCUGACUUGUGGGCCUACUGACGCGGACGGAGGGCUUUGUCAACUUAGUCAAUAUGAACGAUUCUAGCUCCAGUGACCGUAUGAUGUCCAUCCAACGGCCGUAGUGCUUUUUCAGCCUCUGGUCUUCUUGCUCCAGCCGCCCAAACGAGCGUCGGUCGUGCCGCAUGCUCCUGUCUCACGUGGCCGGCUUGACCGCCCCACCCUACUGCAACCUCUGGCCAGGCCAUCCCUCUACUCACCAACAACCCCUGUUAUUCUGCGGCGACGGCAGCCUCACACCGCAGCUGAACCAGUCAACCCUCAUACUCCUCUCCGCAUGGGCAUCCACUUCCGCGUCUUCCCCCGCUCCGCAUCGUCCCCUUCCUAGGCCUCGCCGCCGUCCACCGCCUUGGUGCUCUCGGUGCGGCAUGGUCAAUGUGGUCAAGGAACGACUCCCAUCGGAAGAGUACUGUACGUGGAGAGGCUAACAGAUGGGUCCACGGCCGCAACAAGGAAGUGACUCCUUAUUACGCACAAAAUAAUGAUUCCUCUACCUAGCAGCAGGGACCCACCGGAUGGGCCACCGUAUUUUGCGAAAAAAUGUUUCCCCCUGACUACUGGCACCCACCGGCUACAUCUUCGCACGCAAGGAAGUGCGUCCAUAUUACGGGCAAAAAAUAUGAUUCUCCCCCUAAGAGCUGGGACCCACCAGCUAUAUCUUCGCACGCAAGGAAGUGCCUCCUUACCUUCCUGAUAGCUGGGACCCACCCGGUCGAACCGUGCGUAGAGUUGUCUAUCUGGUCGCGAACGUGUACAUACAUACUGGUCGAUCGGUCUGUCUGCAGGCUACAGCGAUGAACCGUGGCCGAGUAAGGAAGGGCACGUGUCGUAGUAGAGGCGCGGGCAUAGCAUGUCACGCAGUCCCGUCUAUAUCGUGUACACGUACAUACAGCCAGGGUGUAAGAAAGUAAAUACGACCACGUACGUACAUACGGGCGGGGUCUCGAACGCCUACUCGCACAUAUGUAUUGCCAGGGCCCGUGUACAUGGAGAGGCAGCGGAGAGCAGCGACGGCGUCCUGUUCAACGGCAGCCAACCGGCUGGGUCGGAACGGAGAAACUGUGUCGUGUUCAUCGGGAGGCAACGGAAUGCGUCCUGAUCAUUGGGAGCCAACCGGCUUGGACGGAAUAGCCGAAACGAGGUCUGGCGUAUCGCAUAACGGAGGAAAUGGCCUUGUGUUCGACCGCCUACGGUCGAAACGGGAUCCUGUUCACCGACAGGGGUCUGGCGUACCGCAAAACGGUGGAAACAGACUUCUCUUCGACCUUCUACGGUCAAAACGGGGUCCUGAUGAUCGGGAGGGGUGUGGCGUACCGCAAAACGGAGGAAACGGGCUUCUCUUCGACCUCCUACGGUCGAAACGGGGGUCUUGUUCAUCAGGAGGGUGUGGCGUACCGCAAAACAGGACUCCAAGGGCUACUGUUCAUCCACCAUCUACUACCUCGCUCCAGCCUCCACGGGCUACUGUUCAUCCACCGUCGACCUCCUCCAGCCUCCACCUGCGACUGUUCAUCCACGGCGUCUCCCUCUUGACUCCACAAGCUACUGUUCAUCCACGGGCUCCUCUUCAUCCAGCCUCCACCGCUCCUCCACUGGCUACUGUUCAACCACCCCUCCACGGGCUACUGUUCAUCUAGCCCUUCACUGGCUACUGUUCAACCAGCCCUCCACGGGGUCCUAUUCAUCCACCCCAACCGGCUCGGUCGGGGUCCUGUUCAUCCAGCGGCAACGGCCUCUAGCUACUAUCACGGGGUCCUGUUCAUCCAACCCCCACCGGGAACUGUUCAUCCAACCCCCAACAACGCUCACUGUUCAUCAUGAGGCAGCAGGUUCGAUCGGCUUCAGUUAGCAGCAGUAGCGAAGGAAUCGCUCGAUCGGGUUCAGUUAAUAGCCAGAUCGAUCGAUCGCUCGGAUUCAGUAACGAGUAGCCUGCAGUGCAAUCGCUCGGGUUCAGUUAGUGCCCAACGCCUCGCACCCACGUGCGUACGUGUACGAGAGAAAUGCGCAAUCCCUCCGUGCAUCGCUCGGCCCCGACCACCCACCGUAACUGGGAACUCCCCAAUAUUUUCCUCGCCCUCGCUUUUACCACGGUUUUUUCCGUCAUGGACGGCCCAAAGAAUGUCAUGCAGGUGCGUCUCCGGCCCAUCCAGGACGAAAAGCCCAUUUUUUGUCAUGAUUUUUUAUCAUAGAAGUAGGAUCCCACUACAUCUAUGAUGAUACCCGGUUUUGUCACAAUUAUCGUCAUAGAAGUGUCAUAAGCAUGACAGAAAAAAAAUUCGUUCGACCCAAAAUGUCACGGAUGUGUCUUUCUUUGUAAUGUGGGCUAGGGAUAACUUUCUUUAGUGUUGAUAUUUUGAAAGACAUGGUUGCUUAUUGAUAUGCUUGAGUAUUAAAAUCUUCAUGUCAAGACUAUUGCUUUGAACCAUAUAAAAGUCCAAAUGUCCAUGCUUCAAAAGAAAAGAAUAUGUGAUGAACAUUUAGGCAGCAUUUACCUACUUGAGGACGAGCAGGAAUUAAACUUGGGGAUGCCGAUACCUCUCCAACGUAUCUAUAAUUUUUUAUUGUUUCAUGCUGUUAUAUUAUCAUUCUUGAAUGUUUUACAAUCAUUUUAUAGCAACUUUAUAUCAAUUUUUGGGACUAACCUAUUGACAUAGUGCCUGGUGUCAGUUGUUGUUUUUUUCCUUGUUUUUUACGCCGUGGAAAAUCAAUACCAAACGGAGUCCAAACGCAGCGAAACUUUUUGGAGAAUUUUUCUGGGCCAGAAGACACCAGAUGGGCCAAAGAAGUACCAAAGGGGGGCUCUGAGGGGAACACAACCCAGGUGGGUUGUGCCCACCUCAGUGGCCUCCCGCAUUGCCUCUUUUCCCUAUAAAUACCCAAAUAUUCCAGAAACCCUAGGGGAGUCGACGAAACACAAUUCCAGCCGCCGUAAGUUUCAGAACCACGAGAUCCAAUUUAGACACCAUCACGAAGGGGUUCAUCAUCCUCAUUGGUGCCUGUCCGAUGAUGCGUGAGUAGUUCAUCAUAGACCUACGGGUCCGUAGUCAGUAGCUAGAUGGCUUCCUCUCUCUCUCUCUCUUGAUUCUCAAUACAAUGGUCUCUUGGAGAUCUAUUUGAUGUAACUUUUUAAACAGUGUGUUGUUGAGAUCCGAUGAACUUUGAGUUUAUAAUCAGAUCUAUAUCCAUGAAUAUUAUUUGAGUCUUCUUUUAAUCUUUUAUAUGCAUGAUUAUUUAUAGCCUCGUAUUUCUUCUUCAAAUUCUUGGUUUAAUUAGGCCAACUAGAUCGAUUUUCUUGCCAAGGUGCUUUGUGAUGGGUUCGAUCAUGCGGUGUUCUUUCCCAGUGACAGAAGGGGCAGUAAGACACGCAUGUAUCUUUGCUAUUAAGGAUAACAAGAUGGGGGCUAUUCCUACAUGAAUAGAUCUCAUCUACAUCAUGUCAUCUUUCUUAUUGCAUUACUCCGUUUCUCCAUGAACUUAAUACACUAGAUGCAUGCUGGAUAGCGGUCGAUGUGUGGAGUAAUAGUAGUAGAUGCAGGCAGGAGUAGGUCUACUAAUCUUGGACGUGAUGCCUAUAUAUUGAUCAUUGCCUUGGAUAUCGUCAUAACUAUUCGAUUUUCUAUCAAUUGCCCAACAGUAAUUUGUUUACCCACCAUGUGCUAUUUAUAGAGAGAAGCCACUAGUGAAAUCUUCGGCCCCCGGGUCUAUUCUUUAUCAUAUUUGCCUUGAGAUCUAUUUUUAUUUGCUUUUGUUUUCAGAUCUAUUAUUUCAAAACCCCAAAAAUACCUUGCUGCACUUUUUUAUUAUUUAUUUUAUUUCGCGUUUUGUCGAGAUCUAUUUAUCCAAUCUAUCACAAAUUUAUCCCGUCAGCUUGACAAUUUCCUACGCUGCUACCCGUAAGAGGGAUUGACAACCCCUCAUAAGCGUCGGGUUGCAAGUAUUUGUUCUUUGUGUGCAAGUACCGUUUACAUAGUGUUGCUUGUUCUCCCACUGGGUUGAUAACCUUGGUUUCAUAACUGAGGAAAAUACCUACUGUAGUUGUGCUGCAUCAUCCCUUCCUCUUUGGGGAAAUACCGACGUAGUUCAAGCGACAUCAGGCAUGUCGGUGUAGACCUUCGACUGGGAGCCCGACGCCACGGGUACUCAGCAUCACCGAAGGGAUUGAGCCACCACAUCUUGGUUGCGGCGUCACGCGCCUUGCGCUACCAGCUCUGGCGGAUCCGGGCGACAUUUAACUGGACACAAUGGAUUCCCUUCGGAUCAAGUUCUAUCGCGGUCGGGCACACUCCUCUUGGGAGCGGUGGAGAGCCAUGCAUGUGACCCCUCUCCUCUUCUUUCUGCACGGGACAAGGUCCCGACAAAUGGAUCAGGAGCUCUCGGGGGCAGAUCACUGCCUGUCAUGCGAAAGAAGGCCGAAGUUCGUCAGACAAGAGCUUGAGGAUGGAGGGGAGUGGGGUGUUUACGAUUUGGUAUGGAGAGCAGAUAUGGAUGAAUGUAUGUGUGAUCGGUCUGGGUCAUAUCCGACGUGAUGGACAUGUUCGUGCGUCCCAAAUCCACCCCACAUAUAGGCUGAAUAUGGGGUUGCCUGUUAUUCCGGAUGUUGGGAUGAUUUGUUGACUGUUUUUUUUGUCAAAGAGUGUCUGGGCAGGUCUGGAUGGUUGAUGCGAAUAUAGGACGCCCGGUUGUACAUGCUCCGAUGGUAUUGUGGGAGAGAAAUCUAAACGGGGAGCGGCUAUUCUACAUUUGGGCUCAUCUACACCCGAAUGUGAACAGUAAAUUUUUAAAAUAGCAGCAAAAUAAAAAAACUGUUUUUUGUGUGUAAGAUGUUCAAAUGCGCGAGGUUCGUGCAAAAUUUCAGCUUGUUUAGACAUUUGAGGAGACCGUGGCAGAAAAAAAAAACAAAUUCCAGAGUGAGAAUUUUUUUAAAACAACACCGUUCAUACUGGAUUUUGUCUUUUUUGCCACAAGCUCCUCCAAUGCUCCAACAAGCUGAAAUUUUACACAAACAUCACACAUUUAGGCAUCUUAUAAACACAUUGGAUACCGUUGGUGGACACAAACCUCAUGCAGUGGUGGACAACCCUAAAUUCGCAAAAAACAUGUUAGGAGGGAGAUGUGGACAAUGAUAUCACUAGUAGUCUGGAUGUUGUGGAAACAUAGAAACGACAUAGUCUUCAACGGAGCUUCGCCAUCCAUAGACGUCAUGCUUACGAGGAUUGAAUUGGAGGCAGAAAACUGAAGGGCGGGGCGGGGUUCGGUCACAUGUGAUAAGUUGGACAAUGAUGAGUAAUCCACAUGUGGAUUUAGGGCUCAGUUAGCCAUGGAGGCGUUUGUAACAAAACCCUGGCCUUUUUUUGACCCUCUUCUAUCUAAGGUCCGAUGCGUCAACCUUUGACAUAUCCAUUGAAAAAAAGCUCGAGUUUUUUUAUACCGGGGUGUAGAUGAGCUCUAGCACCGAAUUGAAUUUUUGCGGUGAAACGGGCCGUAAGAUGGAUGCAUCGCAUGACACAAGUGCGUCUUUGAAAACAGCGUGCACACACCCCAACCGGAGGCCGACGCUGCUUUCGACGCCACGGCCACCAGCGCUGGCACAGGUCGCCAUAUUAAUUCCUUCUUCGGUGAGGUCGCCGAGGCUUCCUCCGCCACCCCCUUCCGUUCAAUAAAAAUACUCCCGCCUUUCUGUAGCCCACCCACUGCGCCACUGUUCGUGACCUUUUACAGUGCUACCCUAUCCCCGCUGACGCCUGCUCCGUUUGGUAAAAACGCCGUUGGUCAGGUGGAGUUAUGGCUUGGGUACUGGAACAAGGAAGGAUUUUAAUGCCGGAGGACGUCGUCGCCGCGAACCCUUUUUCGUGCGCGCUGCGGCUGUCGCGUCAAUGCCGACCUCUCCCUUUUAUGGCGCGCGGAGCUCGAAUGUCUCGCUCCCUGUCCCGGUGGUGAUCGGGCCGUGCUCGUGCCGUCGUGUCCGCAUUGACGCAUGCUAGCUAAAUCUUGGCUUUCUUCUUCUACUAUCUCUGCCCACUGGUACUUCCCGCUGGACGGCGGAUCGAGUUUCCUGCCUGGAUUCUUGAUCGCCAGGCGGCUGCUUUGUCUUGUUGCGUGAGCGCGGCUCCCGGCUGCCACGUCCGGCGGGAUGCUCGAGGUUUUGGAGGUGCCGUGGACGGUGGUCGGCGGUAAGGCGGCUGGCGGGUGCCCGGGGCCGCCGCGGAGACAGGCGCUACAAAGCAGCUUGGCGCAGCCCAAGGCGGCCGCGCGGUCGCCGGGGGCGGGAGGCAAGAAGUGCAAUUCCGGUGCGAGCGGCCCACGGCGCAACGGCGCGCGGGCGAGGAGCAAGGAGGAGGCGGUGGUGCCGGCCGCGUGCACUGGCGUUGUCGCCGUCGCGCCAGCGGAGCCGCCGCCGGUGUCGAGCAAGGGGCUGGAGCUCUGCCGUCGUCCAGGGUUCGGGAGGGCGGGCACGCGCUGCGUGGUGAAGGCCAACCACUUCCUCGCGGAGGUCGCCGACAAGGACCUCACCCAGUACGACGUAAGUCGCUCGCACUCCUAGCCUCUCGCCGAACACAACGUGGGCGUGCAUGAGCAACCGUGGUGACCGUGACGGUGACACCCACCACGGCGGGGUGUUUUUGCGAUGUCCUGCAGGUCAAGAUCACGCCGGAGGUGAGGUCGCGGAGCAUGAACCGGGCCAUCGUGGCCGAGCUGGUCCGCCUCUACCGCGCGUCCGACCUCGGCAUGCGCCUCCCAGCCUACGACGGCCGCAGCAACCUCUACACCGCCGGCCGCCUCCCCUUCGACGCCCGAGAGUUCGUCAUACGCCUCGCCGUCGACGACGACGGCGUCUCCGGCGCCACCGCCCGGUACACACAAUCGGCCGAUCCGUACGCAAUCACAGUACGCCCUAAGGCGCCCCGUCUCUGUGGACGGCUAAUUGAUUUCGUUUGCCUGCAGCUGUACCUGCAGGGAGAAAGAGUACAAGGUGGCCAUCAAAUUCGCCGCUGGCGCCGACCUGCGCCACCUCCGGGAGUUCAUGGCGGGGCGGCAGCCCGACGAGCCGCAGGGGGCCCUGCAGGUCCUCGACGUCGUGCUGCGGGAAGUCGCCAGCCAGAGGUACCUCUCCGUAAGGCGGUCGUUCUACUCGCCGGACAUUAGGACGCCACAGAGGCUCGGCGAUGGCUUGCAGUCGUGGUUUGGCUUCUACCAGAGCAUCCGGCCGACCCAAAUGGGAUUGUCACUCAACAUUGGUGAGAUACUACUCUAUGGCAUUGGUUGUCCCAGAGUUACUUAUCUAUUGAUGAUCCAAGUGAUUGCUUCCUUGUGUGUCCUGAGCUUACACCCGGGUGCCGAUUUCAGACAUGUCGUCCACGGCAUUUGUCGAGCCGCUGCCGGUGAUCGACUUCGCGGCGCAGAUCGUGGGGAAGGAUGUCAUGUCAAGGCCGUUGUCGGACGCGAACCGAGUCAGGGUAAAUUGUGUUGCACACUUGCAUUUAUGCGCUAAAAUCGCUACUUGUUUGGUUGUGAACGGGAGGUUUGUUAGUACUUCAUGCCUUAUGCCUGAUUAGUUUAUAUGGCUGUGUUUGGUGUCAAGCAGAUAAAGAAAGCUCUACGCGAUUUGAAGGUCGAAAUCACUCACCGAGGAAGUUUAAGACGGAAGUACCGUGUCUUUGGCCUGACAGCGCAACCAACUCAUGAACUAAUGUAUGUUGUGGAAUCUCUGUUGGUGUUAUUCUUGUGUUCCUGUUUCUUGCCUUCCAUUUUACUUUCCAAAUAAAUGGGGACUAUCAGUUUUAAUGCCAUAAAAUUUACCUGAUUGAACUUUAAAUGUUAUGGGAACUUCAGUUUAUCCCAGGAUAAUUUGUAAUUUUAUACUGGCAACUGAAAUGUUUGUGUAAUAAUUUAAAAUAUUGGAAGAAAAAUGAUCUGACAGGCAUACACUAUUGUUGAUGGAUCUACUCUGAGAAAUAGAGUACUUAAAAUAUGUUGUAGUAUGAAUAACAUUUUCUUAACAACUUGAGCACUCAACUGGUUGAUGUAUGAAAUUAUAUGCAGUUAGUUAGGCCUCCUUUGGUUCAUAGGAUAGAAUUAUCAUGGGAAUAGGAAAGUCAUAGGAAAUGGGAUGGCAUGUAUCUUAGUUCCUAUAGCAAAUGAGAUUGGUUCAUAGGAUAGGAAUUUUUACAUUAGGUCCAAGCUAAUGUUUAUUUUUCCUUUGAAAUGUGAAGGAUAGGAACCAAUCCUACAUAGGAAUAGGAAUCCAUUCUUAUAAACCAAAGGGCUCUAAAGGAAUAUAUCUUAAGUGGGAUGUUCGGCCAUUGGUUUCAGAACUGACUGUAAGUCUGAAUCUGAUCAAAGAUGAAACUUAAGUGCCUUUUACUUUGGUUCGAAAGAUGACCGUCCCAUUAGCCAGCCUCAUCCACAGCUUCGCUAGAUUUCUUUGAUCUUUUCCUAUAGGAAUCCUAUCCUAUGGAAUUCCUACAAACCAAAGGAGGCCAUAGUUAAUAAUUUUUUGGUGUUAUACGUUAACAUGUUCUUAGUUAUAACUGUAUGUUAAUUCAAAAUUGUCCUAACUCCUAAUGUGCAUAGUGUAUUGACGGUGCAUGGCAUAUUGGCAUAUUGUUACGCAAGCAUGCACUUCAACAUACAAAAAACGAAGUAGUGGUGCUUGGGCUAACAUUACAGCACCUGGGUUUGCUCUUUUUCUUGUAACAGUUUCCCAAUUGACGAUGAAAUGAAAUCGGUUGUAGAGUACUUCACGGAAAUGUAUGGUUUUACCAUAAAGCAACCGCAUCUUCCCUGCCUUCUUGUAGGAAACCAAAAGAAGCCAAACUAUCUACCAAUGGAGGUCAGUAACUAAUGUCUCUAAUCUCACGCUGACACAACUUUCGCCUUUUACUAUUGCUGGAUCCUGCGUGACACAAGAUGCUCAUUGACAGGCCUGCAAGAUUGUUGAAGGUCAGAGAUACAAGAAGAGGUUGAAUGAAAAGCAGAUCACAUCAUUGCUGAAAGUUACAUGCCAAAGGCCUGGAGACAAGGAAAUGGAUAUUCGACGGGUAUGGAGUGUUUCUUGGUAUACUCAAAAGUGAUUGAACUUGGCAAUAUUUGCAGACAUCAUUCAUAAGAAAUGCAGAUGCUAACUUUAUUUUGAAUAAUUUCUUCAUUUUUUUUUGAAUAAUUAACAUUGCAAGUUAUUUCAUUCUUUGAGUAGUACAUUGAAGAAUAUUGUUUGCUUCAUCGACACACUUUGCAACAGACAUGACAGCUCUGUAUAGCUACUGUUUGUUUUACUGGCACGGCUGUAAGUGUGGCGGCACACUUACCAGCCUGCUCCACCUUCAACCUGUCACCGAACUCGCACGACUUUUUCCAAUACCAAUUUAUUUGCCACACCCUUUCUAGCUUGCCACAGUUUAGCAGGAAAAUCUUGGCGAAGCUCAGUUAUGAACCAAACGUGCAUGUACUUUGUUUUUGUCAGUGCUUCAACAUAAUUCAGUCAAAACCCGAUACAGAAAGAGUACAAUUUUCACUGCUCGCUGCCAAUUCUUCUUGUUUUGUUUCAUUACACAACAUUGAGUAACAUAAAACAUGGUCUGGCCCCUACCAAAAUUGCCUAAAAGACUAAUAGGCAACUGUUUUCAGACCGUUCACCAAAAUGGAUAUGAUCAAGAUCCUUAUGCGAAGGAAUUUGGGAUAAACAUAAGCGACAAACUCACCUCUAUUGAAGCAAGAGUUCUGCCUGCACCCUGGGUAAGAUCAAUGUUAUUCUCCAAUUUGCUAUUGCCAGCUAUUAUGUGCUUAUUCCUGGCUUGCCUUUUUUGUGUGAAGCUAAAAUAUCAUGAUACUGGAAAAGAGUCAGAGUGCUUACCUCGUGUUGGCCAAUGGGACAUGAAAAACAAGGUUAAUAUCCACUCUGCUGAAGUCAUCACUUCUCAGUUGUAGUAGAGUUACUAUUGUGUAUGAAGUUGUCAAUUCACCACUGAAAUAAAAUCAUUGUUGCAGAAAGUUGUCAAUGGAUGCAUUGUGAAUCAUUGGGCAUCCAUUAACUUCUCAAGAAGUGUUCAAGAAAGCACUGCCAGUGGAUUUUGCCAGGAGUUAGCCCAAACGUGUAAACUUUUAGGCAUGGUAUACCUUUCAUUUAUGCUAGUAUAUUAUAUUAUACAGAGGCUUGCUUUUUUCAGUUGCAGAGUAGCAAUAGUUUUUCAAGUAACUGUUAUUUGUUAAACGGCAUUGCAGGAGUUCAACAGCGAGCCUGCUAUACCAAUGUAUUCGGCUAGACCAGAGCAAGCAGUACAGGUGCUUAAGCAUGUGUAUAACGCUGCACUGAAAAAACUCAAGGGAAAGGAGCUUGAGCUUCUUUUGGUAAUCCUCCCUGACAACAAUGGCGCAUUAUAUGGUGAGGAUGCAGUUUCACCUCCUAUUGUACAGUACUUUGUUGCAAAUAUUUUUCAGUCCUCUGCUCGUCCUUUCUGCUUUUCUCAGAUAUAAUGAGUAUUAAUUUUCAGGUGACAUAAAGCGCAUUUGUGAAACCGAGUUGGGAUUAAUGUCACAGUGCUGCUUAGCAAAGCAUGUAUUUAAGAUCUGCAAACGAUACCUGGCGAAUGUCUCACUCAAAAUCAAUGUUAAGGUAGUUAUCAACUGGGAGCAAUGGUCUUUUUUCACACGUACAGUAGAUUCCACGUUCAGAAAGUAAGUUAGUCUCUGAUGAUAGAGACAAUCCACUAUAUCUCAUGUUUGACAAUUUUGGUGAAAUCAGAUGGGAGGAAGAAAUACCAUACUCUUGGACGCGGUAAGUCGGAGGAUCCCAUUGGUCAGUGAUAUACCGACGAUAAUAUUUGGUGCGGAUGUAACACAUCCUGAAACCAGAGAGGACAACAGUCCAUCGAUUGCUGCGGUAAGAUUUAGCAUUACUCUGCUGUCUCUUUAACCAAGUUUCCAUAUGAUUUUCCUCUAAUACGAUGCUUACAGGUUGUUGCUUCUCAAGACUGGCCAGAAGUUACAAAGUACGCUGGAUUGGUGUGUGCUCAAGCUUAUCGGCAAGAGCUCAUCCAGGACCUCUACAAAACAUGGCAUGAUCCUCAGCGAGGCACUGUAACCGGAGGCAUGAUCAGGUAUUUCUCAUGCACCGAGUCACACCCUUAAUAACACAUCAUCUGUAAAGAUAACACAGAAGUUCACUCGAGACGACAAAGAAGCACAGAACAAUGUGUGCGUUUUAAUCAUCCGUCAUCAUGCACAGUGGAAGUGUUAAAUAGAGCAUCCGACUUUAGAUCAUUGGAUCUCUCAGAAAAAAUAUCAGGACCCCCAUGCACAGAAUGAGCUUGACGAAUUUCCUUUCUGUAUGUAACUUCAUGCAGGGAGCUUUUAAUUUCCUUCAGGAAAGCCACAGGGCAGAAACCAUUGAGAAUAAUCUUCUACAGGUACUUCACUGUGCAUGUUGGAUAUCUCUUGCAGAGUGCAAAAGGCUCGCUAAUGCCACCAGUUUUGUGUUGUAUGGAAGUUCAGAUAAUUACGAAUUCUUUUCUUCUGCAGGGAUGGUAUCAGCGCAGGACAGUUCCAUCAAGUAUUACUUUACGAGUUAGAUGCUAUCCGUAAGGUUGUCAAUGAUGUUCUUCCUAUUAUUGGACAUGCAUAUACGAAUAUCCUAAUUAACCCCUUGGAUAUUUUCAGGCCUGUGCAUCUCUAGAACCAAAUUACCAACCUCCAGUGACGUUUGUGAUAGUCCAAAAGCGUCACCAUACAAAACUAUUUGCAAACAACCACAACGAUAAAAGUAACACCGACAAGAGCGGAAAUAUUCUGCCUGGUAUAUGUCAUUCCAUUUCCACCAUCAAGAUAUUGAUAACUCAUUUAUUGAUUUACAUUUUCUUUCCCCUAAUAAAUUUUCAUAACUGCUCACUGGUUGUGCCUAAAAUAGGCACCGUUGUCGAUUCGAAGAUAUGCCAUCCCACACAGUUUGAUUUCUACCUCUGCAGUCAUGCUGGAAUUCAGGUAAGGAUGUGUCUGAUCGAAUUUGAAAGGAUUGCCUUGAUUUCAUAUUUUGCGGCUAUGAUUAUAGGCUUGAAUGUACAAAAUGCAGAGAACAGCCUGAUACAAUAAUUAUAUCGUUAAAGCUGAGAUGAUCCUAUAGUGAGUUAGCUAAUCUCAGUGACAUUGCCAGGGCACCAGUAAGCCAGCACAUUAUCAUGUUCUGUGGGACGAGAACAAUUUCACGGCGGACGAAAUGCAGACAUUGACAAACAACCUUUGCUACACGUAUGGUGUUCCCAUCCUACUCAUGAUAUUUUUUCAAAACCAAAAUUGGAUUUCUUUUUCAGUUUGAAGAAUGUCUUACCAGCUAUGUGAAUCCGUUGCAGGUAUGCGCGUUGCACACGGUCUGUUUCUGUCGGUAAUUUCUUCUUCCUUCUCGCGCCCCUGCUGAAUACAUUUUCCUCUUUCGACGUAACAAUGGUGACAAAUCUGAAGUUUGGCCUUUGGUCUGUUGUGUUGUUUGAGCAGUGCCGCCUGUUUACUAUGCUCAUCUAGCCGCAUUCCGGGCACGUUUCUACAUGGACCAAGAUAGCCUCUCGGUGAAGAAUGCCAACCGGACGAAUGGAAGUGCCAUGAAGACUAUGCCAGCGGUGAAAGAGAGGGUGAAGAGGGUGAUGUUCUACUGCUGACAGGCACUCGGACAUGCUAUAUAGCUAACACUAGGAAUUAGAGGUUUAUAUUAGAUUUUAGAUAUGUAGGACGGGAAGAGUGAAGAACUAGGUAUCUUGUCCUAUAUAAACUUGGACUAUGUUUUGUUAAGAUUGGGCACAACAUCCUCCGUAAUAUAGCUAAUAGAUUGGCAAUGUCAGUCCGGAAAAUGUGCACACAUAUAUGGUUCUUAAGGGCACCUCCUUUUCUUAAUUUUGCAGGGAUUUAUGCCAUAUUUUGAGUAUAUAUGAAACACAAGAAUUUUGGGCAUGUAUUAAUGCAAGAAUUAGACACGGCUCGUGACUACAUUUUGUCGGAUCAGUGUUCAGAACGAUUAGGAUUUAUUUAAAUAACAAGCAGUAGCAAAACAAGGAGCAGUGAUUUUUUAGCAUGGAUUAAUAGAUCUGUGAAAGCAGAUUUUUUGCAAAAUUGUAAUAUAAUAAAAUCAAGAAAAAUAGUUUCAUAUCUACGGGGUGACAAGCCAAACAGCUACAGAUAAGUAAACGGCGGCUACAGAUACUCGCAUGAAGUCAAAAAUAUGCUACAACAACAGAAGAACAGGCCAUCUUAUUUUCCUUAUCAAUCAUUCUACUGCCUUUCCCAGCAGCUCCACAUGGCAGGCCCAACCAAGCAACGUUUGCUUCCAUCAAAAACUCAUACUAACUAAAUUUCUGGGGGUGGAAACUUAUUAAGACUGCUUGCCAGAUUUUUCAGGGGCAGUAAUCUCGGGUUCUUGCGACUGUUUGAUGACCGUACCGUUCGUGGAGCUCUGGCUGGCGACAUUUUCUUGAAGGGAGCCGUUUCCUGUCCCAACGACUUGAGCUGUCGUUUCUACUACCUCUGCUUUCAGCUGCUGUUCCCUCUCCAGGUCUUGCUUUGCCAGGGGAGAAAACUGCGAAUCGAGGGACCUUACGGCGCCCAACCACGCGAUGACAAUCACCAGCAAUAUUCCUCCAAGGUACGGCGUUGAGUUUGCAAGAGACCCAAAUGACAAGAUCAUGAACUGCUGGAUCAGGGCACCUCCAGAUUUUCCCAAUGGGUUGCAUACCACAUCUAUUGCUGCCUUGCCUU